AUUGAACGCUGGCGGCAGGCCUAACACAUGCAAGUCGAGCGGAGCUGCGGACGGGUGAGUAAUGCCUAGGAAUCUGCCUGGUAGUGGGGGAUAACGUCCGGACACGGGCGCUAAUACCGCAUACUCUCAGAUGAGCCUAGGUGGGAUUAGCUAGUUGGUGGGGUAAAGGCCUACCAAGGCGACGAUCCGUAACUGGUCUGAGAGGAUGAUCAGUCACACGGGAACUGAGACACGGUCCAGACUCCUACGGGAGGCAGCAGUGGGGAAUAUUGCACAAUGGGCGAAAGCCUGAUGGAGCAAUGCCGCGUGUAUGAAGAAGGCCUUCGGGUUGUAAAGUACUUUCAGUGGGGAGGCGUUACCUAAAGAGGAAGCCCCGGCUAACUCCGUGCCAGCAGCCGCGGUAAUUC
rnacentral:rRNA from 1 species